UCGUUAGCUUACAAGCAGCAGGAGAAUGACUUAUCGUUUGACUGUGUGCAUGUUGAAGAAUGAGCCGACGACUUAUGAGAAGUGGCAGGUUAAAAUAAAUUAUAUUGGAGCCAUAGUGAAAGCGAGCUUUAAUAGAGCGUUAGUCAUUUUUCAUAGACCCGAACCCGAAUGAUCUAACCAUGACCAGAGUGAAUUUUAGGUAAAACUGAAUGGAAGCUCGAACUGACUGAUGUUGAAAAAUCAGCAGAUGAGUUGUGGUUAGUGGUGAAAUGCCAAUCGAAUUCGGAGCUAGCUGGUUCUCCCCGAAAUGCGUUUUGGCGCAGCGGUUAAUUUUAAUUUUUAGGGGUAAAGCACUAUUUUAAUAAAGGUUAUGAAAAUAAUACUACAUUAAGGUAAACUCUGAAUACUGAAAAAAAUAAUUAACUAGUGAGACUAUGAGGGAUAAGCUUCAUUGUCAAAAGGGAAACAGCCCAGACCACCAUUUAAGGCCCCUAAAUAUUUACUAAGUGAUAAAAGAAGUAAGAAUACUUAUACACCUAGGAGGUUUGCUUAGAAGCAGCAAUCCUUUAAAGAGUGCGUAAUAGCUCACUAGUUUAGUGCUCUUGCACUGAAAAUUUAAGGGACUAAGUAUUUUGCCGAAGAUGUGGGAUGUUUUUACAUCGGUAGGGGAGCGUUCUGUAAUAGUUAGAAGUACUAAUGAAAGUGAGUAUGGACGAAUCAGAAGUGAGAAUGUCGGCUUAAGUAGCGAAAACAUCAGUGAGAAUCUGAUGCCCUGAAAACCUAAGGUUUCCUUUGCAAGGCUCGUCCACAAAGGGUAAGUCAAGACCUAAGGCAAGGUUGAAAAACGUAGUCGAUGGACGACAGGUUAAUAUUCCUGUACUAUUUAUUAUUAAUAUUAAGGGACAAAGAAGGCUAAAUCAUCCGGAUUUUGGUUACCGGUUUAAACUUAUUAAGUUAAGAUGAAUAGCGAAAAUAUUCAGAGCUAAGUAGUGAAUACAAGAUUAUUUUAUAAUCAAAGUGAUUGAAGUCAUACUUUCUAGAAAAUCUUAUCAUAUUUUAAGUAAUAAAUACUUGUACCUUAAACCGACACAGGUAGGUAAGUAGAGAAUACUAAAGGGCGCGAGAUAACUCUCUCUAAGGAACUCGGCAAAAUAGCCUUGUAACUUCGGAAGAAAAGGUGCCUUUAUUGAUAAGGUUGCAAUAAACUGGCCCAAGCGACUGUUUAUCAAAAACACAGGUUUCCGCGAAGUCGUAAGACAAUGUAUGGGGGCUGACGCCUGCCCAGUGCCGGAAGGUUAAAAAAAACAGUUAGUAACUACAAAGCUGAAGAUUAAAGCCCCGGUAAACGGCGGCCGUAACUAUAACGGUCCUAAGGUAGCGAAAUUCCUUGUCGGGUAAGUUCCGACCUGCACGAAAGGCGUAACGACUUGGGUACUGUCUCAGAGAGAGNNNNNNNNNNNNNNNNNNNNNNNNNNNNNNNNNNNNNNNNUAUAAAAUAAUCAUAAGUGAGAUACCACUCUAAAUAAAUUAAAUUUCUAAUCUUUAACCAUUAACUGGUUGAGAGACAUUUUUUAGUAGGCAGUUUGACUGGGGCGGUCGCCUCCUAAAAAGUAACGGAGGCGUGCAAAGGUUUCCUCAAGCUGGUCAGAAAUCAGUUUUAGAAUAUAAAGGUAUAAGGAAGCUUGACUGCGAGAAUUACAAUUCGAGCAGAGACGAAAGUCGGCCUUAGUGAUCCGACAGUACUGAGUGGAAAGACUGUCGCUCAACGGAUAAAAGUUACUCUAGGGAUAACAGGCUAAUCUCCCCCAAGAGUUCACAUCGACGGGGAGGUUUGGCACCUCGAUGUCGGCUCAUCGCAUCCUGGGGCGGUAGUAUGUCCCAAGGGUUGGGCUGUUCGCCCAUAAAAGCGGUACGCGAGCUGGGUUCAGAACGUCGUGAGACAGUUCGGUCCAUAUCCGGUGUAGGCGUUAGAGUAUUGAAAGAAUUUCUUUUUAGUACGAGAGGACCAAAAGAAACAUACCUAUGGUGUGCCAGUUAUUGUUCCAACAGUAUAUGCUGGGUAGCUAAGUGUGAUUGGAUAACUGCUGAAAGCAUAUAAGCAGGAAGCCUACCUUAAGAUGAAUACUCUUUAUUUAAUAAGAUCACGGUAAGAUUAACCGUUUGAUAGGCAUUAAGUGUAAGUAUAGUAAUAUAUUUAGCUAAGAUGUACUAAUAGAUCAAUAGCUUGA
rnacentral:rRNA from 1 species